GGCAGCUGACGAGACUGUAACUGACGCUAAAGCUCGAAAGUGCGGGUAUCGAACAGGAUUAGAUACCCUGGUAGUCCGCACGGUAAACGAUGGAUGCCCGCUGUUUGCGAUAUAUUGUAAGCGGCCAAGCGAAAGCGUUAAGCAUCCCACCUGGGGAGUACGCCGGCAACGGUGAAACUCAAAGGAAUUGACGGGGGCCCGCACAAGCGGAGGAACAUGUGGUUUAAUUCGAUGAUACGCGAGGAACCUUACCCGGGCUUGAACUGCAGGAGAACGAUUCAGAGAUGAAGAGGCCCUUCGGGGCUCCUGUGGAGGUGCUGCAUGGUUGUCGUCAGCUCGUGCCGUGAGGUGUCGGCUUAAGUGCCAUAACGAGCGCAACCCUUGCUGUUAGUUGCCAUCAGGUAAUGCUGGGCACUCUGACAGGACUGCCACCGUAAGGUGUGAGGAAGGUGGGGAUGACGUCAAAUCAGCACGGCCCGUACGUCCGGGGCUACACACGUGUUACAAUGGGUGGUACAGACAGUCGGUGUCACGCAAGUUCGCGAAAGUCAAUAAACCAUCCUCAUUACGCGCGAGGGUCUGCAAACCGAGCCCAGAAGC
rnacentral:rRNA from 1 species